UACGAAGGGGGCUAGCGUUGCUCGGAAUCACUGGGCGUAAAGGGUGCGUAGGCGGGUUUUUAAGUCAGGGGUGAAAUCCUGGAGCUCAACUCCAGAACUGCCUUCGAUACUGGGAGUCUCGAGUCCGAGAGAGGUGAGUGGAACUGCGAGUGUAGAGGUGAAAAUUCGUAGAUAUUCGCAAGAACACCAGUGGCGAAGGCGGCUCACUGGCUCGGUACUGACGCUGAGGUGCGAAAGCGUGGGGAGCAAACAGG
rnacentral:rRNA from 1 species